GCCAUUUCAAUAUGAGGCUCAAGAAAAUGUUGAUAUUGAAGAAAAUCAUUGGUUCUAUGAGUAUUGAUGAUUUGGAAGAGGGUCAUCCUUCAAAUCAUGGUAAAGAUCUUGGAUCCAUGUCAAAUUUUAACCCAAUUUUCUAUGGUAGGAUUUUCCAAGUUCUCUGGUGACAAUCUUAAAUCUUAAAGAGUGGUUAUAUCAGACAGAACAAUUCUUUGAAGAAGAAGGUUUACCUAAUGAUGCAAGAGUCAAUGUUGCUUCAAAGCAUUUGGAAGGGGAAGCUUUGCAAUGGCAAUAUGA
rnacentral:misc_RNA from 1 species